rnacentral:rRNA from 1 species
GUUGGGUAGGGGAGCGUUCUGUAAGCCUGUGAAGGUGUGUCGUGAGGCAUGCUGGAGGUAUCAGAAGUGCGAAUGCUGACAUAAGUAACGAUAAAGCGGGUGAAAAGCCCGCUCGCCGGAAGACCAAGGGUUCCUGUCCAACGUUAAUCGGGGCAGGGUGAGUCGACCCCUAAGGCGAGGCCGAAAGGCGUAGUCGAUGGGAAACGGGUUAAUAUUCCCGUACUUGGUGUUACUGCGAAGGGGGGACGGAGAAGGCUAUGUUGGCCGGGCGACGGUUGUCCCGGUUUAAGCGUGUAGGUGUGUGUUCCAGGUAAAUCCGGUUCACUUUAACACUGAGGCGUGACGACGAGGCACUACGGUGCUGAAGCAACAAAUGCCCUGCUUCCAGGAAAAGCCUCUAAGCAUCAGGUAACAUCAAAUCGUACCCCAAACCGACACAGGUGGUCAGGUAGAGAAUACCAAGGCGCUUGAGAGAACUCGGGUGAAGGAACUAGGCAAAAUGGUGCCGUAACUUCGGGAGAAGGCACGCUGACACGUAGGUGAAGUGAUUUACUCACGGAGCUGAAGUCAGUCGAAGAUACCAGCUGGCUGCAACUGUUUAUUAAAAACACAGCACUGUGCAAACACGAAAGUGGACGUAUACGGUGUGACGCCUGCCCGGUGCCGGAAGGUUAAUUGAUGGGGUCAGCGCAAGCGAAGCUCCUGAUCGAAGCCCCGGUAAACGGCGGCCGUAACUAUAACGGUCCUAAGGUAGCGAAAUUCCUUGUCGGGUAAGUUCCGACCUGCACGAAUGGCGUAAUGAUGGCCAGGCUGUCUCCACCCGAGACUCAGUGAAAUUGAACUCGCUGUGAAGAUGCAGUGUACCCGCGGCAAGACGGAAAGACCCCGUGAACCUUUACUAUAGCUUGACACUGAACAUUGAGCCUUGAUGUGUAGGAUAGGUGGGAGGCUUUGAAGCGUGGACGCCAGUCUGCGUGGAGCCGACCUUGAAAUACCACCCUUUAAUGUUUGAUGUUCUAACGUGGACCCGUAAUCCGGGUUGCGGACAGUGUCUGGUGGGUAGUUUGACUGGGGCGGUCUCCUCCUAAAGAGUAACGGAGGAGCACGAAGGUUGGCUAAUCCUGGUCGGACAUCAGGAGGUUAGUGCAAUGGCAUAAGCCAGCUUGACUGCGAGCGUGACGGCGCGAGCAGGUGCGAAAGCAGGUCAUAGUGAUCCGGUGGUUCUGAAUGGAAGGGCCAUCGCUCAACGGAUAAAAGGUACUCCGGGGAUAACAGGCUGAUACCGCCCAAGAGUUCAUAUCGACGGCGGUGUUUGGCACCUCGAUGUCGGCUCAUCACAUCCUGGGGCUGAAGUAGGUCCCAAGGGUAUGGCUGUUCGCCAUUUAAAGUGGUACGCGAGCUGGGUUUAGAACGUCGUGAGACAGUUCGGUCCCUAUCUGCCGUGGGCGCUGGAGAACUGAGGGGGGCUGCUCCUAGUACGAGAGGACCGGAGUGGACGCAUCACUGGUGUUCGGGUUGUCAUGCCAAUGGCACUGCCCGGUAGCUAAAUGCGGAAGAGAUAAGUGCUGAAAGCAUCUAAGCACGAAACUUGCCCCGAGAUGAGUUCU